rnacentral:rRNA from 1 species
GACGAACGCUGGCGGCGUGCUUAACACAUGCAAGUCGAACGGAAAGGCCCUGCCUUUGUGGGGUGCUCGAGUGGCGAACGGGUGAGUAACACGUGAGUAACCUGCCAUUGACUUUGGGAUAACUUCAGGAAACUGGGGCUAAUACCGGAUAGGAGCUCCUGCUGCAUGGUGGGGGUUGGAAAGUUUCGGCGGUUGGGGAUGGACUCGCGGCUUAUCAGCUUGUUGGUGGGGUAGUGGCUUACCAAGGCUUUGACGGGUAGCCGGCCUGAGAGGGGGACCGGCCACAUUGGGACUGAGAUACGGCCCAGACUCCUACGGGAGGCAGGAGUGGGGAAUAUUGCACAAUGGGCGGAAGCCUGAUGCAGCAACGCCGCGUGCGGGAUGACGGCCUUCGGGUUGUAAACCGCUUUCGCCUGUGACGAAGCGUGAGUGACGGUAAUGGGUAAAGAAGCACCGGCUAACUACGUG